rnacentral:rRNA from 1 species
AUGAACGCUAGCUACAGGCUUAACACAUGCAAGUCGAGGGGCAGCAUGGUCUUAGCUUGCUAAGGCCGAUGGCGACCGGCGCACGGGUGAGUAACACGUAUCCAACCUGCCGUCUACUCUUGGACAGCCUUCUGAAAGGAAGAUUAAUACAAGAUGGCAUCAUGAGUCCGCAUGUUCACAUGAUUAAAGGUAUUCCGGUAGACGAUGGGGAUGCGUUCCAUUAGAUAGUAGGCGGGGUAACGGCCCACCUAGUCUUCGAUGGAUAGGGGUUCUGAGAGGAAGGUCCCCCACAUUGGAACUGAGACACGGUCCAAACUCCUACGGGAGGCAGCAGUGAGGAAUAUUGGUCAAUGGGCGAGAGCCUGAACCAGCCAAGUAGCGUGAAGGAUGACUGCCCUAUGGGUUGUAAACUUCUUUUAUAAAGGAAUAAAGUCGGGUAUGGAUACCCGUUUGCAUGUACUUUAUGAAUAAGGAUCGGCUAACUCCGUGCCAGCAGCCGCGGUAAUACGGAGGAUCCGAGCGUUAUCCGGAUUUAUUGGGUUUAAAGGGAGCGUAGAUGGAUGUUUAAGUCAGUUGUGAAAGUUUGCGGCUCAACCGUAAAAUUGCAGUUGAUACUGGAUAUCUUGAGUGCAGUUGAGGCAGGCGGAAUUCGUGGUGUAGCGGUGAAAUGCUUAGAUAUCACGAAGAACUCCGAUUGCGAAGGCAGCCUGCUAAGCUGCAACUGACAUUGAGGCUCGAAAGUGUGGGUAUCAAACAGGAUUAGAUACCCUGGUAGUCCACACGGUAAACGAUGAAUACUCGCUGUUUGCGAUAUACUGCAAGCGGCCAAGCGAAAGCGUUAAGUAUUCCACCUGGGGAGUACGCCGGCAACGGUGAAACUCAAAGGAAUUGACGGGGGCCCGCACAAGCGGAGGAACAUGUGGUUUAAUUCGAUGAUACGCGAGGAACCUUACCCGGGCUUAAAUUGCAAAUGAAUUAUGGGGAAACCCAUAGGCCGUAAGGCAUUUGUGAAGGUGCUGCAUGGUUGUCGUCAGCUCGUGCCGUGAGGUGUCGGCUUAAGUGCCAUAACGAGCGCAACCCUUGUUGUCAGUUACUAACAGGUUCCGCUGAGGACUCUGACAAGACUGCCAUCGUAAGAUGUGAGGAAGGUGGGGAUGACGUCAAAUCAGCACGGCCCUUACGUCCGGGGCUACACACGUGUUACAAUGGGGGGUACAGAGGGCCGCUACCACGCGAGUGGAUGCCAAUCCCCAAAACCUCUCUCAGUUCGGACUGGAGUCUGCAACCCGACUCCACGAAGCUGGAUUCGCUAGUAAUCGCGCAUCAGCCACGGCGCGGUGAAUACGUUCCCGGGCCUUGUACACACCGCCCGUCAAGCCAUGGGAGCCGGGGGUACCUGAAGUGCGUAACCGCGAGGAGCGCCCUAGGGUAAAACUGGUGACUGGGGCU